rnacentral:rRNA from 1 species
GAUGAACGCUCGCGAUAGGCUUAACACAUGCAAGUCGAGGGGUAACGUGUUGGAAGCUUGCUUCCGAUAACGACGACCGGCGGAUGGGUGCGUAACGCGUAUGCAACUUGCCUCACAGUGGAGAAUAACCCGGAGAAAUCCGGACUAAUACUCCAUACACUCUUAAGUACGCCUGUACAUGAGAGGAAAGAUUUAUCGCUGUGAGAUAGGCAUGCGUCCUAUUAGGUAGUUGGUGAGGUAACGGCUCACCAAGCCGACGAUAGGUAGGGGUGCUGAGAGGCAGAUCCCCCACAUUGGGACUGAGACACGGCCCAAACUCCUACGGGAGGCAGCAGUGAGGAAUAUUGGUCAAUGGAGGAAACUCUGAACCAGCCAAGUCGCGUGAAGGAAGAAUGGCCUAAGGAGUGUAAACUUCUUUAGCGAGCGAGUAAGGACUUCCACGUGAUGGGAGUUUGAAAGUAGCUCGAGAAUAAGUAUCGGCUAACUCCGUG